CCCCCCCCCCCCCCCCCCCCCCCCGUGCUUCCCUCCACAACCUGGGCAUGCCCACAGGGCCUUGGAAGUUCACUGACUUUUUGAGAAGAGCCUCUCGAGAACCUGAAGUAGAGAAAUAAGGCAAACCAACACUCCCGGCAGGCGUCAUUAAGCAGUGUUAAUUAAAUGCAUCCUCUGGGGCUAAUUGGAACCCAGGGUCAGGAGUGGCAGCAGCUCCGGAGAGCAGUGGUUAAGGAGGCAGACGGCUAAUGGUUUCCUUCUCUACCGAUGUGGGCUGCGGAGUGCAGGCUGUGAAGCAGGCCAAUCUGCCAAUUAGUCCACAAGUGAUUUCUCAGGGGCUCGGAGGUAUUUAUGAUUUGUGAUUAUUUUUUGGAAGUUCAGCUGUUUAAAGCAGUAAUUGCCUCUGGAAAGCAGAGAGAAGUGGGGGUCCACUCCGUUCCCCUGAGGGGUAGUACCUGCCUGUCUGCCCUGGAAGUGGAGGUCAGGGGCCUGUGGGGCACUUCCCUGGCUGGUGGGAGGCUCCCUGAGGGCACAGUCUUGGCAGAAGACCCACCCCCAUCCUCGUAGCUGUGUCAUCUCCCUUGGCCCCCUCCCUGGGUUCCACAGACCCUUAGGGCACUGGAAGGAGAACUGCUUGGAGUUAGUGGAAUGAGGAGAAGCCUGAGCUGCAUCUCUGGGGGCUGCGGGGAGUUCCCCUGGGAUGCAGGCUCCAGAGCUACCUCCAGGUCCCCUGAUUCGAAGCUCAUGUUCCAUCUGCGGAGUGAGCUGCUGGGCUCAUGCCAGCCCCUUGGCAGUUGGCUUUCACUCUGGGCCAGCAGCGGGAGCGGCAUUGUCUUCCCAAGCUUCAACUGGUGUGUAGGGGUAGGGUUGGUGUCCUGGACCAUAACCACAUAGAAGGUGACCUGAAGCUCUCCUCUGCACAGCUGUUUCGUUUCUUAUUUAGCACCCCGCCCCCAAGAAAGCCCCAUUUAUAGGAGUUUGGACACCAGGGCCUCAGGUAUAUCAAAGCAGGGUCUUGAGGUGUUUUACCACCAGGGCUCGCCUGGUGCAGGCCAUGAGACAGAUGAGGGGGAUGGGGGCCCAAGUCACUGCGAGAGCCUCCCCAGCUGAGCUUGCACCAUGUGUGGCUCGGGUGGUUUCUCUGCUCAUGUUAUCUUUGUUCUUCACAUCCAACCCCAAGCUGUCCUUGGUGUCCAAAUCACCUCUCAUCACUAUCCAUGGGCCAGGGGUCCUACAGGUCCCCCUGGGAGUUCUGAUUCCUCUGCCCAAGCCACACACUGCCUAGUGUCCUCACCUCCAGCCUGAGCCACUCCCCUCAUGUGAUCCUCAUGCCGGAGUCUGCACCCUGCUUCCUGCUCCUUCCUGGUGCCGCAGGAGCCCAGCUCUGGAGCACCUCUCUGAGGGCAGGGCUCUGGGAAGACUGCUGGCCACGUCUUCAUGCCCAGACGGUGGUCUUGCCGAGCCGGUGGUUGAUCGUGUCUAGGCUUGCAGAGUCCAAGGUGCUUUUCCUCCAUGCCGAAGGUCAGAGGCUUCCCACCCCAACCCUGGGAUGGUACCACGGACCUCACAGGCUGAAAACUUGCCUCAUCCAUCCAUCCGUCUUUCUGUCCCGCAUGAGGCAGUGGAAAGGCCUGACUACCCUACUGCACGCCACCUCAGACUGCCCUUGGUGGGCUGCUGGAGUUCAUCCUUCUCUUCCUGCUUUUCAUCUCUUGCUCUUUAUUAUCCUUUUGGGAGAGUUCUCUGACAUUUCUCAUCCCGUCUCUAUUAUUAUUUGUAGUUUCUUUUUUGAGACAGAGUGUUGCUCUGAUGCCCAAUCAUUGAGACAGGGUUUCACCAGGUUGGCCAGGCUGAUCUUGAGCUCCUGACCUCAAGUGAUCUGCCUGCCUCAGCCUCUCAAAGCGCUGGGAUUACAGGUGUGAGCCAUCAUGGGAGCCUAUCAUUUCUAGUUUCUGAGAGUCUUUCGUGUUGCUUUUUCUUUUUUUGAGACGUAGUCUCAUUGUCUCACCCAGGCUGGAGGGCAAUGGCAUGAUCUUGGCUCACUUCAACCUGUGCCUUCCAGGUUCAUGUGAUUCUCCUGCCUCAGCCUCCCGAGUAGCUGGGAUUACAGGCGCCCGCCACCAUGCCUGGCUAAUUUGUGUGUUUUUAGUAGAGGGAAUUUCACCAUGUUGGCCAGAUUGGUCUUGAACUCCUGACCUUGUGAUCCAACUGCCUCGGUCCCCCAGAGUGCUGGCAUUACAGACAUGAGCUACCACGCCUGGCUGGGAUGUCAUUUUUUUUUUUUUUGAGAUGGAGUUUUACUCUUGUUGCCCAGGCUGUAAUGCAAUGGUGAAAUCUCGGCUCACUGCAACCUCCACCUCCCAGGUUCAGGAGAAUUCCCUGAACCCAGGAGGCGGAGGUUGCGGUGAGCCAGGAUCGCACCAUUGCACUCCAGCCUGGGUAACAAGAGCAAAACUCUGUCUCAAAAAAAAAAAAAAUAGAAGCACAUUUGGCUGGGCGCGGUGGCUCACGCCUAUAAUCCCAGCACUUUGGGAGGCCAAGGCAGGCAGAUCACGAGGUCAAGAGAUCGAGACCAUCCUGGUCAACAAGGUGAAACCCCGUCUCUACUAAAAAUACAAAAAUUAGCUGGGCAUGGUGGUGCGUGCCUGUAGUCCCAGCUACUCGGGAGGCUGAGGCAGGAGAAUUGUUUGAACCCAGAAGGUGGAGGUUGCGGUGAGCCGAGAUUGUGCCAUUGCACUGCAGUCUGGGUAACAACAGCGAAACUCCAUCUCAAAAAAAAAAAAAGCUUUAUUCA